rnacentral:lncRNA from 10 species
GGCCUCCCAAAGUGCUGGAAUUACAGGCGUGAGCCACCGCGCCCGGCCACCUCCAUUCUGUGGAGAAAGCGGCUCACGGGAGGUUUUGACGCAGUGAUUAGCAUCCAGGCGAUUAUGAGAAACACGCAUUUCUGUGCUCUUCUCACGACCUCUGAUGACCACAUUACGCCGAGGCACGAGGGGUUCACCUCGUCAUUUUUCAUCAGAAGAAAAGGAACAUUCCUCCAGGAGCUCAGAGCUUCUCUGGCAGGUAGAAGGCAAUGUGAACUCAGUCCCGAGUGCAAGCACGAUAACGACCUUCUAUGAAUGGAAAGGGGCAUUGUUGCUGCAGAGCAGCUGGAGGGGUGACCAACAUGAGAGACGCCAAGAGCCAAUGUCUGUCCAGCCGUGAGCCAAGGGCAGACUCCGCAGGAGGCCACGGUCACAUAGAGCACUCGAAGGGUGACUCCAGGAAAGACAGAAUGGUGCAGACUUGGGUCAAAAAGGCCGUGCGGUGACGCCAUUGAUCAACAGGACUUGGGUCAGAACGUUUACGGAUGUUGAAUCCCACUGAAUACCCAUCAAUCAAAAAUAGCUAUUGAAGGUCCACAUGAUGAAAACCAUAUGCAGAGGGGAAUGGGAGUGCCUUCGGCGGGGUGCUGAGUCCAUCCUGCAUCAGGUCAAAGCAGGAGGAGGAGGCGGGGGGGCUGCCACUGACUCACUCACAACCCCAUGCAACGCACAUCCUGAGUCCUUUCCCUCCUAACAGGCGCGACACCUUCCUGGGCGGCAUGGGGGUGUCACUCCUGCUGGAGGCGCUUCCUCCUACACCUGCUCCAGCAUCUGUGAGACCCACCAGAGACCGGCAGCUACUGGCUUUCUCCUCUCAACUCUAGAAGCGAUGCCACGGGAGGAUCACUGGCUGCAGGUCCCUCCCAUCGCGCCGGACGCUCCCCGCCAGGACCAGAUUCACGCGUGGCCAUCCCCACAGGCCCUGUCGUCUACACGAGGCUGAGACCCAGCAGCUCCUUGUUCUCCAAUCUCUCCCAUCCCUGGGUUCUCCUCCCCCAUCCCGUCCUGUGUGAACUGCUGAGCUCACAGCUCAUCUCUGCUCCACUCCCUCCACGUCUCCAGCUGGAGGAGAAAACCCCACGGCCGGGGAUGCUUCUGCGGUUCCGCCCGGGGCUCCCACCCGCGCUGCAAGGCUGCGAGUUCCCCUCAUCAAGCCAGGGCCUUUUCCCGCUGCUGGCGCCAGCGAACUUCCUUAGAUUCUCCACGACACGUGGCUCUGCGUGUCUCCAUCUCUGACGCAGCUGCAUUCUCUGAAAGCUGAUGCCUGACCUUGGCAUCUCCUCAGCACUGCUCAGGCGCAGGCAGCCGCUGUGCCCUGAGAAUAUCCUCCAGGCGAUCCGGCUUGAGUCCAGCUCAACAAGUGGAAGUCCAGGGACCUCCCGAUCUGUGCGCAGGAGGAGGCUGGCAGCGCCUGGGAAGGUGUCUGGGAACGUGCAGGGAGGCGCCUGGGAAUCUGUGGGGAGAGCCCAGCCCAGGCAUGGACACAGCCCUUUUUCUUUGGGCUCCAUACUUGAGGAUUCCUCUCGAAAGAGCUCAGAGUGAGGGGUUCAUUUUCAUAAUAUCUGGGACAGUGGAUGUGUCCAUUUCCACAGCUCAGCCACACUGCUCCUGAAGACCCAGUCCGUGCUCCCUGCGCCCCUCAGUUUUUCCAGAAACUUUGCUUCCUGCUCUCGGCUUAAAGACACCUCGUGCCUCCGCAGGCCCGCCAGCGUGCGCUGAUGAGCAAGGGACACACACCCAGGUGCAGCUGAUCUGAGCCAUUAGAGGAAUUAAAACGCCAGCCUCCCCAUCACCUUCACCUGGCAGUUCUUCCAGGACGAUGGAAAAACUACUUUUCCUGCCCAUCCCCUCUCUUUCCUCACCUUUAAAUGGCCAAAAUAGCUGCAGUUUAGGUUAAAAUCACUUCGUUGUUAUUAUGUAACGAGCAAGCAAAGUUCAGCUCAGGAGUUUUGACAAGCCCCUUAUUAACUUUAUUAAAGGUUAACCGUCUCAAAUUUACAGUAAGAUAUAGACUUAUUUUAUAAAUUAUGUCCAUCAGAGCUAUAAAAUUGAUAUCUGAGCUAUUAAAAGAAAAAAGCUGGAAACUUCAUUUGUCCCUUUACCGUGCCAAUUGAGUUCUGCGAGAGCCACUGGAAGCUCGCCGUGACACAGCCACAGUCCACCAGCCUGUGCUUCCUGCAGGCCAUGCUCUGCUCCAGGAUCUGGGUGGGCCCCAGCAGCGAGGAAAAUUGGAAACUGUCUUUUUACUGGGUUCCAUUGGUGUCACUGUGCUGCACAGUAUCUGCUGAGGCCUCGCCAUGCCCAAGCACAGCGCUGAGCAUAGGACACAGAGGUGUGAGGGGCCACACCUUCCACACCCACUCAGCACCUGCCUGCUGCCUGCUGCUUGCCUGCUACAUGCUGGGCCUCCUGACGAGGGCAGGGGGCCGACAGAGGAAGUACAGCCGCCGGGAAGAGCCCCUGUGGUCUCAGGCCUGAGGCCCUGAGGCUGGAAAGCAGGUGUUGGGUCCCAAAGGCCUUGGAGCAGAGUCCAGGCUUUGCAGGACUGAGCAGGUGGGGAGGGGGGAAACCGAUCAUCACCGCUGCAGCACUCUCUGGGAGAGCAAGUGGCUACCUGCGCUCUGAAAGAAGGGAGCAAAGUAGGUGGAUCUGAGAACUAUUGGAAGGCAGAGUCAAGUCCCUGGGAUUUAGAGUGUGAUGACUGGGCUGAGAGACAGGGAGGACCCAGGAAGACUGAGAAUCUCCCUCUGUCCUUAAACCUGUGCACUCUGGGGACAUCUAAAAAGUUUCUGACUCAGCGCCUAGGACCGUGGGCCCCCCAUCUUAGAAACUGAAAGGAAUGUUCAUCUACCUUUAAGCAAAGGCUUGUGUUUUUAAGUGAAAUCAUCUCAGAUCCAGGAGAGAGGGCUGGGAAGACAGUGUGCAGAGGACUUGGGUGAACUCCUGGGUCUCUGGUGUCUUUCCCAGUAAUGUCUGCUGUGUCUGCAGAGCAGGAGUUUCUGCUGCUUCUUCUGAUCCCAACUCCUUGCGUCCCUCGAGUCAUUUCUAUUCUGAAUCCCACCUGUGCCCUUCACCCCAGGGCCUGUGUGGAGAAACAAGGGUGUCAAAAAUGAAUGAGACAGGACAAGGGGCAGCCCCUGUCUUAUUUUGCUUCUUUGGAACAAGUGAAGACAAACAACAACCAAAAAAAAAAAAAAAAACCAUUUCCAGGCGAAUUCCCUGGAUUAUUUUAGCAAACUCCACAGCUUUUGAUAAACUUGGGCCGAGCAUAAGGAAGCAAAGAGUCGUACAUCUUUUUCACAUCCUUGCUCCUUUCACAGCAGGCUUUCAGCGGGAGGGGAGGAGGCGAGGCCCCAGAGGGGUCCCGGAGAAAGCAGAAGAAAGCGGCGUCGACAUUUUCUGAAAUGCCAAAGGUCCCGUCUCCACUUUCAAUCUCCGCAGUUACAAAACAGAGGGCUGAGUCAUCACUCCCAUGAAGUCAGGGGAGGGGAGCCAUUCAGAAGGCAGUUGUAAUUUUUACUUUAUCUUUUACUAAAUAUUGAGGAUGGAAACCCCCAGCCUUUCCCACAUGCAUUUUCUCCAGUGGAGAGCUAGAAGACUGGGCCGUCUCUCUUGCCCUGCUUUUUGUCUUCUCUGAGGUCUUUUGAACUUUCCCCUAAGUGGGCUCAAAAGGGAUGAUUCAGUCUCCAAGAAGCCCAGCAAGUACUUUCAGAAAAGUUAGGGAAACGUUUUCAGCCAUUUCAGAAAGUUUAGAGUGGUUUUAGUUAUGGAAUCUUAACACAGUUCUAAAUUUGUUAUGUAUUCAUUAUCUGUUCUUAAACAGAUAUAUUUUCCAAAGUGAAUGCCACAAUUUUCUGUGAACAUAUUAACGAAUGUUUCAGAAAACAAAAUUAAUUAGUGGUCUAAAGUAUUUGGGAAACCACGGGUUAAAUCAAACAGCUUUCUUAGCUGCUCUGUGGGGGUGGGACGGUGGCGGGGGGGAGGGGGGGGUUCUACUCCUUUGAUAGCCGAAUCUGCACCACAGAGCUCUACAAGGGAGGCACAUUUCCCAAAGGCAGCAGAGCCUGCAGUGAAGUGCCUGCUGUGCGGGGAGGGCCCGCCCUCCUAUUAAGAGGGGCAGGUGGCUGGCGUCAGGGUGAGGGUGAGCCCUUGCCUUCACAGAAGAUGUCCACGUGGUGGUUCUGGACUAGCCUCUUCCUUUCUCUGAGCCGCUCCUCUUCCCGUGAAGGAAGUCUUCGUCCCACUUCUCAAGGCUGCCUUGAGCUCAGAGGAGGAUGCCUGGCUUGUAAGGUGCUCUCGGCAGCCACGGUUGUCCUCACUGGAAAUGGAGCUUGCACCACACAGUGAGUGGGGCAGACACAGGCGUCCCAGACAAAACUCCCAGGCAGAAAGCAGAGAGUAGGAAGCAGCAUCAUUGGUCCCAAGAAAUGAUGGAUCUUGCCCUCAGCAGCCCCUCUCCUGCAGCCAGAGGGGAGCGUCCUUCACCCUUGUUUUCCAGCCCCAGGCUCCUCUCUCCCGAGGCUCGUGUUCUCUGUGGCCGCAUCACACGGCGCUGGGCGGCUUUGGCUUUGUCCUGUCCACAGGCCUGAGGACCCAGGGGCACUUUUACACUUCACAGUCACAAGCAGUCUAGGCUUUACUUGCUGACACAAGCCCUUGACAGCUGCGUGGGCUCCUGGUUGGUUUGCUUCAGCCGCCCCCGUGCCAAGGAGCCCACCGGAUGGCUUCUGUCCUUGACUCCCUUGCACAGGCAUUUGUGAAAAGACCACACUCUUCAUCUCAUGUCUGCAACAAGACUGAGUCCUUUUUUUUUUUUUUUCCCAACUGAGAAGUCUUAGUUUGUCAUUGAAAGACUUUUAAAAUUUUAUUUCUGAUUGUCUGGAAUCUAGAAGUGAUGAAUGAAUUCUCCCAACACUUCAAGACCUCACAUUACUGGACUCUUUCUAUUUUCUGUCACUUCUAGUUGGAAACCAGCGAAUUCCAUCCUGGCCUCCUUUCUUUCUUAUCCCGCUUUGCUAAAGCACAAACUAAACCCAGCACACAUGGGAGCAGGCAUUUCAACUUUGUCGGGCACCACAGUCAUCUGAAGGGUUAUUAAAACACAGAUUUCUGCAACCCACAAUUUCUGACCUGGGGUCUGAAGUGGGCCCAAAACUUUGCAUUUUUAAUUUUCCAGGUAACACCGAUGCUGCUGGUCUGGGGACUACAGUUGAGGUGCCCUGGCCUACGAGCUGUGGGUUUAGGUGGUAGUGUCCUAUUUCCAAGCAAUUUCAGAUGACAGUUUUACCAGGUAUUUGCCACGGUGUGGUAUGGGUCCAAACACGUUUUCCAGAUGAGUGAUUUCCCUUCGAGUUGUGUUUCCAGGCCAAGGCCCCUCAUGUCUCCUGGUUCCACCAUCUUCAAGGGCCUCAAGGCCAAAGAACUGGUUACUUCUUGUACGUGAGGCAGGACGAUCUGAGCUCCGGCCCGGACGGAGGGCGAGCACUCGGCUCCCUUCAGUUCAGCACAGAGGAGCAGACCUGCUGCUGAGCUGCCGUGCAGCACGAGCUGGGGGAGCGGGAAAUCAUGACCCACAGGCUUGUCUUCAGAGAGCCUGUUGAGGGUGGCAUGUGAUGGGCACCUGAGCACCCAGGUCAGAGGCAGGGUGGGGGGACUUCUGGGAAGCCAGUCCUGAGUUAAAGGACUCUGGAAGCCCACGGCAGGACCAGGGUGCAGGGAAGGUGGGCAGGGGCCGGGCACAAGGCGGGACCAGGGUGCAGGGAAGGUGGGCAGGGGCCGGGCACAAGGCGAGGUCUGGCUUCUGUGGUGUGGUCCAGGACUUCUUAACAUUUCCUUACCAUGGCACACACAGAAACAGAAAAGUCUGUGGCACACCGGGGCAAACCACAGGAUUUGGGAGCAUCUGCAGGGGGCAGGAGGGAGAAAAUGCCUUUUUUAUGUUAUGUAAUCGUGAAAGAAAAGUAAAACACAAAGCAGGAGGAAAGAUCUUAAAAGGUUGAGUUUGAACAAUACUUCCAGCAAAGGUCUACUCAAACUUUAAAUGAAAAUUUUAGCUUGUUCUUACAAACAUAACUCUUUUACACCAAGCUUUAUGAGUAAAUUGGCUACAAGAAUUUCCUGACUCAGAAUUUAAGGAGUCACUGUGAUAACCACUUGGUUAUUAACAUUAUUAAUAGUACAACAAAAUAGCA